CCUCUUCUCUACACCAUCCUUGGCAGAGCAGGGCCCCGCCCGGAUACCUUCCUUCAUCUUGUCCUGAUGGAUCCCAGGCUCCUUAUAUACCAUCGGUGCCUUAGAUACAAAAAUAUUUGCACAACGUGUGUGUAUGUGUGUGACUCGAAGACUUACACAUGCAAGCAUCCUCAGAAGCAAGAAGAGUGUGUCAGAACCCCUGGGACUGGAAUUACAGGCAGGUUGCUGGGGGUCAGACUGGACACCAGUUUGGUGGCCCUCAGGAUGUAAAGUCUGGGCUCUGAGACCAAGCAAAUGGAGAGGAAGCACAUGGCCUGAGACAGCUUGGGUCAGCUGUCACACGGUAGCGGGAGGUCACAGACUCGGUGAUGAAGAACCUGAUCAUCUUGGAACUGGUGAAGAGUCUUGGUUGCCGAAGAAGGGAGCUACUAUAAACUGAGGCAAAUCCUGCUUGUCAAACACUGGGCUGAGCUCUGCAGGCAGGGAUGGAGAUGCCAAAGCCAAAGAAAAGGACAGAGCUGGACGUUGGACUCAGGCCUGCCCCACUCUAAAUCCCCCACUGCCCUCUACGGACUGAUGGUCCACACGAAGCCAGCAUCCACUGCCCAGACCCAGUGCUUGCUCAGAUCCACUGGUGAGUGGGGCAGGGGUGGGAUUCUGUACAGAGGGCUUCGGUUUGGGACAGACAGCAGUGUUGAGCCUUUCAGGCACCCAAGGACUCGGAGCCCAGUGUCCUCAUGUAUAAAAUGGCUGGUGAGGUGUCUCCUCAGGGAAGGGCACUUGCGGACAAGUCGUCUGAUGGCCUGGGUUUGACCCCUGGGUCACAUUCAUGCCCACUCACACAUGUAUACACACAUGCAUG